rnacentral:lncRNA from 1 species
CACCGAAACCCUAGGUGCAGCAGGGUUUAUAUAGACCCUGUAUGCUGCGCAGUGCCACAUCAUUCGACCAAUCAAAAAAUUCCAAUAAAUUUUGAAAAAAUUCUAAUUGGUGGAGUGAUGUCAUCUAAUCAUAUCAGAUAAGAAUCUCCAUGCUCUCUCCUAUGUUGGCACCAACAAUGGAUAGGCUCAAAUAAGGUGGCGCCAAAGAGUCCAAGUUUAUCAGGACUCUUUGGUUCUUAUCCAUUUGGGGCGCCCACUUAAAUCCAAUUGGGCUCAUGCCAUAAUCUGAUUAUGGCACCCAAUUUGAUUAGGUUUAGACAUGUGGACACUCCACAAAAGUCCUUCAAUAAGUCCUCUUCAGUUUAAGACCCAUAUGUCAACUUUUGACAGAUGUCCUAAAAUAAAAUUGGCAGGUGCUAGAAAUUAGCAGGUAUUGUCUUAAAUUCAUCUCAUGAAUUAAGAUAAGCUUUUUUGGAGCUAGACAAGCUUUAUUUAAAUUGAUAANNNNNNNNNNNNNNNNNNNNAUUUGGCUCAGUAGAGACAGAAAAGAUUACACGAGGAGAAAGUUAGGCUCAAUCGAGUGCUAGCACGAUUUCCUUGAACCUAAUUGGAUCUUAUCCAAAUCAAUUGGGGUAGCCCAAUUGAUGACAUCCAGAUCCUAACCCUUGUUUGUGUGACCCAGUUAGGUUCAAUUCUGUAUAGUAAUGAGACAUGUCGUGAUCUCAUCAUCGACAUCAUCGAAACUUCUUUCGAUGGAUCAGAACUCUUCUGAUUCAGAUAAUUAGAAUGAUCGAUCAUCAAAAUCAUUCUAAUUGCUCCCAAAAUCUAUCAGUGACACCUAACAGUAUAUGGUGGCAACCCAUCAGAACUGAAAAUGAACCUCUUGGUGCAGCUACCUGUGUGAUUGAGUUUCUCUAUCAUGAGUC